AUCCACAACCACAUCACCCUGAAUGUUCCUGAUCUUGUCUGAUUUGGGAAGCUAAGCAGGGAUAGGCCUGGCUAGUACUUAGAUGGGAGACCACCUGGUAAUUGUGGCUGCUAUAGGCA
ensembl:rRNA 5S_rRNA 5S ribosomal RNA